CUUUUCGAGGUAGGAGUCGACUCCUGUGAGGUAUGGUGCUGGGUGCAGAUGCAGUGUGGCUCUGGAUAGCACCUUAUGGACAGUUGUGUCCCCAAGGAAGGAUGAGAAUAGCUACUGAAGUCCUAAAGAGCAAGCCUAACUCAAGCCAUUGGCACACAGGCAUUAGACAGAAAGCUGGAAGUUGAAAUGGUGGAGUCCAACUUGCCUGGACCAGCUUAAUGGUUCUGCUCCUGGUAACGUUUUUAUCCAUGGAUGACUUGCUUGGGUAUGGAGAGUCGGCUUGACUACACUGUGUGGAGCAAGUUUUAAAGAAGCAAAGGACUCAGAAUUCAUGAUUGAAGAAAUGCAGGCAGACCUGUUAUCCUAAACUAGGGUUUUUAAUGACCACAACAAGCAAGCAUGCAGCUUACUGCUUGAAAGGGUCUUGCCUCACCCAAGCUAGAGUGCAGUGGCCUUUGAAGCUUACUACAGCCUCAAACUUCUGGGCUCAAGUGAUCCUCAGCCUCCCAGUGGUCUUUGUAGACUGCCUGAUGGAGUCUCAUGGCACAAGAAGAUUAAAACAGUGUCUCCAAUUUUAAUAAAUUUUUGCAAUCCA
rnacentral:lncRNA from 1 species